AACACAUGCAAGUCGAGCGGUAGAGAGAAGCUUGCUUCUCUUGAGAGCGGCGGACGGGUGAGUAAUGCCUAGGAAUCUGCCUGGUAGUGGGGGAUAACGUUCGGAAACGGACGCUAAUACCGCAUACGUCCUACGGGAGAAGACCUUCGGGCCUUGCGCUAUCAGAUGAGCCUAGGUCGGAUUAGCUAGUUGGUGAGGUAAUGGCUCACCAAGGCGACGAUCCGUAACUGGUCUGAGAGGAUGAUCAGUCACACUGGAACUGAGACACGGUCCAGACUCCUACGGGAGGCAGCAGUGGGGAAUAUUGGACAAUGGGCGAAAGCCUGAUCCAGCCAUGCCGCGUGUGUGAAGAAGGUCUUCGGAUUGUAAAGCACUUUAAGUUGGGAGGAAGGGUUGUAGAUUAAUACUCUGCAAUUUUGACGUUACCGACAGAAUAAGCACCGGCUAACUCUGUGCCAGCAGCCGCGGUAAUACAGAGGGUGCAAGCGUUAAUCGGAAUUACUGGGCGUAAAGCGCGCGUAGGAAUCCUGUUAAGUUGGAUGUGAAAUCCCCGGGCUCAACCUGGGAACUGCAUUCAAAACUGACUGACUAGAGUAUGGUAGAGGGUGGUGGAAUUUCCUGUGUAGCGGUGAAAUGCGUAGAUAUAGGAAGGAACACCAGUGGCGAAGGCGACCACCUGGACUAAUACUGACACUGAGGGUAAAAGCGUGGGGAGCAAACAGGAUUAGAUACCCUGGUAGUCCACGCCGUAAACGAUGUCAACUAGCCGUUGGAAGCCUUGAGCUUUUAGUGGCGCAGCUAACGCAUUAAGUUGACCGCCUGGGGAGUACGGCCGCAAGGUUAAAACUCAAAUGAAUUGACGGGGGCCCGCACAAGCGGUGGAGCAUGUGGUUUAAUUCGAAGCAACGCGAAGAACCUUACCAGGCCUUGACAUCCAAUGAACUUUCUAGAGAUAGAUUGGUGCCUUCGGGAACAUUGAGACAGGUGCUGCAUGGCUGUCGUCAGCUCGUGUCGUGAGAUGUUGGGUUAAGUCCCGUAACGAGCGCAACCCUUGUCCUUAGUUACCAGCACGUAAUGGUGGGCACUCUAAGGAGACUGCCGGUGACAAACCGGAGGAAGGUGGGGAUGACGUAUCUCAUGGCCCUUACGGCCUGGGCUACACACGUGCUACAAUGGUCGGUACAGAGGGUUGCCAAGCCGCGAGGUGGAGCUAAUCCCAUAAAACCGAUCGUAGUCCGGAUCGCAGUCUGCAACUCGACUGCGUGAAGUCGGAAUCGCUAGUAAUCGCGAAUCAGAAUGUCGCGGUGAAUACGUUCCCGGGCCUUGUACACACCGCCCGUCACACCAUGGGAGUGGGUUGCACCAGAAGUAGCUAGAAUUUCCUUC
rnacentral:rRNA from 1 species